rnacentral:rRNA from 1 species
UACAGAGGGGGCUAGCGUUGUUCGGAAUUACUGGGCGUAAAGGGCUCGUAGGUGGCCAACUAAGUCAGACGUGAAAUCCCUCGGCUUAACCGGGGAACUGCGUCUGAUACUGGAUGGCUUGAAUCCGGGAGAGGGAUGCAGAAUUCCAGGUGUAGCGGUGAAAUGCGUAGAUAUCUGGAGGAAUACCGGUGGCGAAGGCGGCAUCCUGGACCGGCAUUGACGCUGAGGAGCGAAAGCCAGGGGAGCAAACGGG